GGCCCCCAGACCUUGAUCCCCCAUGAAGUACCAAACCGCUGCUGAUCUCACCCGGAUGGGGGUGAGAUCGGCAGCGGUUUGGUACUUCAUGGGGGAUCAAGGUCUGGGGGCC